rnacentral:rRNA from 1 species
GAACGCUAGCGGCAGGCCUACACAUGCAAGUCGAGGGAGAGGUUACCUUCGGGUAACUGAAACCGGCGCACGGGUGCGUAACGCGUAUACAAUCUGCCUUUCACAUAGGGAUAGCCCGAAGAAAUUUGGAUUAAUACCUAAUGGUAUAUAAGAGCGGCAUCGUUUUUAUAUUAAAGCUACGGUGGUGAAAGAUGAGUAUGCGUUCUAUUAGCUAGUUGGAGAGGUAACGGCUCCCCAAGGCGACGAUAGAUAGGGGUUCUGAGAGGGAUGUCCCCCACACUGGUACUGAGAUACGGACCAGACUCCUACGGGAGGCAGCAGUGAGGAAUAUUGGACAAUGGUCGGAAGACUGAUCCAGCCAUGCCGCGUGCAGGAUGAAGGUCCUAUGGAUUGUAAACUGCUUUUGUAAGGGAAGAAUAAGGGGUACGUGUACUUUGAUGACGGUACCUUACGAAUAAGCAUCGGCUAACUCCGUGCCAGCAGCCGCGGUAAUACGGAGGAUGCGAGCGUUAUCCGGAAUCAUUGGGUUUAAAGGGUCCGUAGGCGGGCUGAUAAGUCAGAGGUGAAAGCGCUUAGCUCAACUAAGCAACUGCCUUUGAAACUGUCAGUCUUGAAUGAUUGUGAAGUAGUUGGAAUGUGUAGUGUAGCGGUGAAAUGCUUAGAUAUUACACAGAACACCGAUAGCGAAGGCAUAUUACUAACAAUUUAUUGACGCUGAUGGACGAAAGCGUGGGGAGCGAACAGGAUUAGAUACCCUGGUAGUCCACGCUGUAAACGAUGGAUACUAGCUGUUUGGAGCAAUCUGAGUGGCUAAGCGAAAGUGAUAAGUAUCCCACCUGGGGAGUACGCACGCCAAGUGU